rnacentral:rRNA from 1 species
UACGUAGGUGACAAGCGUUGUCCGGAUUUACUGGGCGUAAAGAGCGCGCAGGCGGUCGAUCAAGUCGAGUGUGAAAGCCCCCGGCUCAACUGGGGAGGGUCAUUCGAUACUGAUCGACUCGAAGGCAGGAGAGGGUAGUGGAAUUCCCGGUGUAGUGGUGAAAUGCGUAGAUAUCGGGAGGAACACCAGUGGCGAAGGCGACUACCUGGCCUGUUCUUGACGCUGAGGCGCGAAAGCUAGGGGAGCAAACGGGGAUUAGAA